AUUCUGGGAAGAUGGCUGGGUGAGCAGGAAGAAUCUUUUCUUUGGCUAUGAUCCGGGGAGGACUGACAGGCUGGGGCUGCAGCCAAGUCACGGAGAAUGGAGCCAACCACAAAAAGUAGAGCCCAGCAACAGAAACUGAGGCCUGAUGAUGUACUCCGAUCCCUGGAUCCAGAAAACCCUGGACUCUUCGGUCCCAUGAGCCAAUGAAAUCCCUUCUUCUCGCUUUUAAGCCCCUUUGAGUUUUCUGCCCCUGGCAACCAGUUUUCUGCCCAGCCCUCACCAUAUGCCAGGCACCCCGACCUCACAGCACGUCCGCAGCAUCAACUAAAGACUAAACAAAAUAAGCCACAUACACCAAAGGACGGUUUAUGCAGAGAAACAGACAAGGCGGCAAAUACCCAGACAGAAAAUGAAAAGAUAACACAGACACAGGAAAUGAAAGGGACGAGGAGCUGGCCAGAAGGCGAGGGAGAAACCCAGCUGAGAUGAAACCUCUCAUUUGUGGCCGCCCCGGGAGAGAAGAACACGGCUGCUGCUGGGAUGAGCCAGACUGUUGAUAUACGCUGCAGGGAUCUGUCUGCUGUACACGCCCAAGACCAGCCCCAGGUGUGGGGACCGAAGGGAACACAGAGCCACGGUCCACCCCAGCAGCGCUGGCCACGCCAGCAGCCCAGAGAAAGUGAGGCACGAUUUAAAAACUGGGUAACAGAAGGAGAGAGAGAGAAGGGGAGGCCGCCGCAGCUUUCAUUCCAACAUUUUCCAACUCUGGACCAGUCACCUGGUCUCAAAGUCCCUUCUGCAGAGUCCAAGAAAGCAGCAACAACAGAGUUUCCAUCAUGAACUCGGAGUGCCGCGUGUAGACCGUCAGGACGUUGGACAGGGACUCACAGCCAAAGAUGUCCGCUGCGCUGUUAUUUAUGAUGGCAAAACAAACAAAGAACGAGAGUUGGCUACGUGAAGUGUCACACAUCCAUAAAGUGGAAUGUCGUCCGAUA